rnacentral:misc_RNA from 1 species
AAGUUUGUGCAUUCAGUGCGUGCGAGGCUGCUUCUAGCGACAACACGGCUUCAUCCACUAGAGAGUUGUGCUUAUCGCGCGGAUCAUACAGUGAUGGCCACAUCGGGGAUCUGUUAUCAGUAAUCGCAAUCGAGUCGGAGAUUUCGGAUACAUCCCCCUGAUAGGCAGAUCUUGGAUCCACGCCCCCGAUAAUCACAGCCAUUAACCUGUGAUAUUAAAUCUGUUUAUCAUGGCAGAAACGAAAUUUGCAGCAAAAGCGAUCAACGUAACAUUUUCAUCGUUUGAAUGAUUUCAAUAGUAAAAUUGAAUGAACUUUAUAUUGGGGAAUAAAAAGAUAGUGUGUGUAGGAACUCUGGAUAUACAACAUAGUACCCGAUGACGUCAUAAUGGAGCAGAAUGUUACACAAUGACGGCAGAAAUGGACAAGUAUGAAAAAGAUGAGAAAAAAAGUUUCCUUCCGCGCGUGGAAAUGAGGGGAUUAUUUCGCGACAAAGGAAAUAAAACCAUGGGGAAGUUUCUGCCAAAUUCCACUUACGUUGUGCCGGAAUACGAAGAGUCUGAGUUCAACUCUUCCAAUCAUACGUCAAUAGCGGGUAACGACACCAAAUCAAACUCCAAAACGCUAGGAUCUCUACCCACCACUCGUGCUCAUAGCAAAAACAGUUUACAAGCUCAAAUCUAUAACUUCCUAGAACGACCAACUGGGUGGAAGUGUUUCAUUUAUCAUUUUACGGUGUAAGUUCAUGAUGGUGUUGAUCUGCCUUAUAUUCAGUGUCUUAUCAACCAUUGAUGAAUACGACGACUUUGCAAUGGAAACACUGUUCUGGAUGGAGGUAGUUUUGGUGUCUUUCUUUGGAUUUGAGUACUCUAUACGACUCUGGUCCGCUGGUUGUAGAAGCAAGUACAUGGGACUUAAGGGCCGAAUCCGGUUUGCCAAGAAACCAAUUUCCAUUAUAGAUUUUAUUGUUGUUGUGGCUUCCAUGGUCGUUUUUACAAUUGGGUCCGAGGGGCAGAUAUUCGCCGCUUCAGCAAUAAGGUACUUUAUCAUUUUAAUUACUUAGAAUAGUUACCAUGGAAACCAUUUUCUUUUUUACAGAUCUUAUCGUUGUCGUGGCUUCUGUUUGCGUUUUUACUAUUGGGUCAGAAGGCCAAGUAUUUGCUACUUCCGCGAUCAGAGGAGUCCGGUUUUUACAGAUACUCCGUAUGUUACAUGUAGACAGGCAGGGAGGAACAUGGCGUCUGCUCGGCUCUGUGAUAUAUCUCCACCGGCAGGAACUGAUCACCACGCUGUAUAUAGGAUUCCUUGGUCUCAUCUUCUCCUCCUACUUCGUUUACCUCGCAGAAAGAGACCCGGAAGACAAGAGGAAAGAUUUCAACAGCUACGCAGACGCCCUCUGGUGGGGUGUGAUAACGGUGAUGACGAUAGGGUAUGGGGACAAGGUCCCGGAGACCUGGAUGGGGAAGAUUGUCGCCUCAUGCUUUGCCGUGUUUGCGAUUUCCUUUUUCGCUCUACCUGCAGGAAUUCUUGGAUCCGGGUUUGCAUUGAAAGUUCAACAGAAACAAAGACAGAAGCACUUUAACAGGCAGAUUCCAGCCGCCGCUACACUGAUACAGUGUGUUUGGCGAUGCUUUGCAGCAGACCCCUCCAGCCACUCGGAAGCCACGUGGAAAAUUCACAUCCAUGACGCCUCCAACGAGGAGAACAUGUUGGCGCGCAUGGCCCGGCGCGCAAGUUUGACGCUCCGGAAGCGACGCUCUUCCCGAAUGGACUCGCUUGGCAACCACUACAGGGAGAGCAUGUCCUCGGUGUUUGUAGAGGACAAGAUGGCCGGAACUCCACGGAACCCGCGGAGGGAUUUCCAGAGGCAGUGUUCGGGUUCUAGUACGUAUCAUUCCAGUAGCCUAGCCGGCGACAACUAUGAUGACAAUGAUUAUGACAAUGAGGAGGCAGAGAAAGUAGUGCAAUUAACAGACGCUCACAAAACAGCAAUUAGAGUUAUUAGAAAAAUCAAAUAUUUCGUAGCCAGGCGGAAAUUUCAGCAAGCACGUAAACCAUACGAUGUACGUGACGUCAUAGAGCAAUACUCUCAAGGUCAUUUAAAUAUGAUGGUCCGAAUCAAAGAAUUACAACGAAGGUUAGAUCAAACACUCGGAAAACCCAGUACAUUAUAUGCUAGUGGAUACCACAAGGACCGAGAAAAACAGACAAUCAGCGCAAGGAUUGUUCGAUGUGAAAACCAGUUGAAUAAAAUGGACCAGAAGCUAGAUCAAGUUUUAUUUAUGGUCAAUUCCAUACUCAAAUCAAAGAAUGUAAAUGAAUCCGCGCAGGAAGACGAAGUUUGAACCAGUUAUAUGUGUUCUUUUGAUCAUGUGACAUGAAGUGACCUAUGAACUUAUGUGCAAUUUGUUACGCAGGUUGUGAUUUUUUAAAUAUUAUACAGUGGACGAAUAUUUUCUUCAUGUUGUAGUUUUUGCACACAAAAUAUGAGUUUGAACAAUCAAAAAAAAAAAGAAAAAAAAAGAAAGAUAAUAUAUUAUAGUUUAAAUAAAAUGAAAUCUCAG